GCCGGACAGGGAUCAGGAGCACAUGAUGGGCCCUGUCAAUCUGGCGUCACCUUGGGACCCCAUCUUGGAUGUAUAGUGAGUACGGCAGGUUCCAGAAAGAUACCUUGAAAGAGAGGAAGGAAAGAGGACUGAAGGAAAGAAAAGAGUCUGAAGCCCCUCGAAAGGGAUGCACCCUAUUUGAAUUGCUUGUGUCAAGACACUUGCCCUGGAGGUCCCUGGAGUUUGCGGUGCCUGGACUGUGGGCUGGAGUGGGGACCCCUGGGAAGAGCUGGGCUUGGAGGGCCAGCCGGGUUGGGAGGUGGUAAUCCAGCACAAAACCAAAGGGGAAGGAAGGAAGGAGCUGUUGGACCGAAGCCACUGGGGACCGAAACGUGGAUCCAGAGCAGCGCUGGGUGACCUUUGCUUUUCUGUGUCCCUCAGUGGCUGAGAGCGCGGUUAGCUAACCGGAUUCACCAAGAAGCACGGCUCCAGUGUCUACCUCGUACCGUCAGAGCCCCACCCUGACAACCUGCAGUCCACACCCGGCGGUCCCCCCCCCAUGUCCCAAGUAGGCCCUAGCAUUCCACGGCUUUGGGGGCAGGGGUCGCAAGGCCCGCGCUUCGUGCCUCGGGGAUGCGAAGCUCCUGCCUCGCCCAGCCCUCACUGCUCCGCUUUGGGGGCCCCGGAGCAGAUGCUGGGGGCCGAGUGGGAGACCAGCGUCCUGUGGACUGAAGGGGGUCGGGGUAGCGGAAGCUCGGGUAUUUCAGCAAUGAGGAAUUGUGCAGCCGGUUUCCUCUUCCUGCCCGAGGUACAUUCUCCUCUAAUCCCACUACACUACACGUCGUUUCGAGAAGGCCUGGGGGGAUUUGUAUAAAGGACGAGCCUGUCCCAUGCCCAGAGACCCGACUGGUUCGGCCUCGAGGUGACCGUCCUUAAGCUCCCCUGUGCACAGCAGGUGCAGCUGCAAGGGUCCGCAGAGCCCCGGAGGCUGCCGUCGGGUAACGAGGGCCGUGAGGGAGGAGGCCAGAACCGGCCUGGAGGGAGGAG
rnacentral:lncRNA from 1 species